rnacentral:rRNA from 1 species
AACGAACGCUGGCGGCAUGCCUAACACAUGCAAGUCGAACGAGGCCUUCGGGUCUAGUGGCGCACGGGUGCGUAACGCGUGGGAACCUGCCCUUAGGUUCGGAAUAACUCCCCGAAAGGGGUGCUAAUACCGGAUAAUGUCUUCGGACCAAAGAUUUAUCGCCUUUGGAUGGGCCCGCGUUGGAUUAGCUAGUUGGUAGGGUAAAAGCCUACCAAGGCGACGAUCCAUAGCUGGUCUGAGAGGAUGAUCAGCCACACUGACUGAGACACGGCCCAGACUCCUACGGGAGGCAGCAGUGGGGAAUAUUGGACAAUGGGCGAAAGCCUGAUCCAGCAAUGCCGCGUGAGUGAUGAAGGCCUUAGGGUUGUAAAGCUCUUUUACCCGGGAUGAUAAUGACAGUACCGGGAGAAUAAGCUCCGGCUAACUCCGUG